rnacentral:hammerhead_ribozyme from 1 species
AUCCAGCUGACGAGCCCCAAAUAGGACGGAAACUCGUGUCCUGGAU